rnacentral:rRNA from 1 species
AGCCCUAAGUAUUUAUUUAGGGUAAUACCUGCCCAAUGAGAAAUUUAAUGGCCGCGGUACUUUGACCGUGCUAAGGUAGCAUAAUCAAUUGACUUUUAAAUGAAGUCUGGAAUGAAAGGGGGAACGGAAUUUAGCUGUCUUAACUCCUUUAAUUUGAAUUUACUAACUAAGUGAAAAGGCUUAGAAGAGAUAAAAGACGAGAAGACCCUAAGAGUUUUGAGUAUAUUUUUGUUGGGGCGACAUAGGGUCAAGUUAUUAACACCCUUAUUUCAUAGGACGGAUUUAUCAUGUUCAGAUAAACUACCUUAGGGAUAACAGCAUAAUUCUUUAGAGUUUGUGACCUCGAUGUUGGACUAGGAAGCCUUUAGGCUAGCUGCCUAAAAGGGAGAUUCUGUUCGAAUUUUUACUCCU